rnacentral:rRNA from 1 species
CCAAUAGCGUAUAUUAAAGUUGUUGCAGUUAAAAAGUUCGUAGUUGAAUUUCGGGGUCAAUACGUCGGUCGUGCCUCGGUACGCACUAACGUUAUUGAUCCCUCCCUUCUGACGAACCGUGAUGUCAUUAAUUUGGUGUUGCGGGGAAUCAGGACUGUUACCUUGAAAAAAUUAGAGUGUUUAAAGCAGGCAAUCGCUCGAAUACAUUAGCAUGGAAUAAUGAAAUAGGACGUUCGAACCUAUUUUGUUGGUUUCUAGGAUCGACGUAAUGAUUAAUAGGGAUAGUUGGGGGCAUUAGUAUUCAAUUGUCAGAGGUGAAAUUCUUGGAUUUAUUGAAGACUAACUACUUCGAAAGCAUUUGCCAAGGAUGUUUUCAUUAAUCAAGAACGAAAGUUAGGGGAUCGAAGACGAUCAGAUACCGUCGUAGUCUUAACCAUAAACUAUGCCGACUAGGGAUCGGAUGAUGUUAAUUUUUUAAUGACUCAUUCGGCGCCUUACG